rnacentral:lncRNA from 1 species
GGUUAGAUAGUUGGCAUUUGCAAGCGGUAACCAAAUGCGCAUUCCAUUGAGUUUGUAUGGUGGCUGCUCUUUGCACAAGCUGUGUGCUUAUGAGGUGUUGGUACUUGUCGAGGACAGCAGGGGGGUAGCGUACUCGUGGUGUUGCACUAUGUUUUGUUUCUUUGUUUUAUUUUUGAGUGUUUGAUCUGUUUGAGCCUUUGUGAUCCGAGAAAAUAAAAAUAAUAUGAGUUACCUUUGUUAAUUAAUUUAUUAUUCAUUGUUCCAUCUAUGUGGUGAUGUAAAAUCUGUCCUCUCAAACAUGUCAAACAUUUUUUGAAAUCGUAAACAUUUUU